CUGGCGGCGUGCCUAAUACAUGCAAGUCGAGCGGAAUGAUGAAGAAGCUUGCUUCUUCUGAUUUUAGCGGCGGACGGGUGAGUAACACGUGGGCAACCUACCUUGUAGAUUGGGAUAACUCCGGGAAACCGGGGCUAAUACCGAAUAAUCCAUUUUGCUUCAUGGCGAGAUGUUGAAAGACGGUUUCGGCUGUCACUACAAGAUGGGCCCGCGGCGCAUUAGCUAGUUGGUAGGGUAAUGGCCUACCAAGGCGACGAUGCGUAGCCGACCUGAGAGGGUGAUCGGCCACACUGGGACUGAGACACGGCCCAGACUCCUACGGGAGGCAGCAGUAGGGAAUCUUCCACAAUGGACGAAAGUCUGAUGGAGCAACGCCGCGUGAGUGAAGAAGGUUUUCGGAUCGUAAAAACUCUGUUGUAAGGGAAGAACACGUACGAGAGUAACUGCUCGUACCUUGACGGUACCUUAUUAGAAAGCCACGGCUAACUACGUG
rnacentral:rRNA from 1 species